GAUAGAAUUAGCUCAGCUGGGAGAGCAUCUGCCUUACAAGCAGAGGGUCGGCGGUUCGAACCCGUCAUUCUCCACCA
rnacentral:tRNA from 1 species